rnacentral:lncRNA from 1 species
UUUCCCGUCUCUGCCCAACUCUGUCUCUCUAAUUUCACCAGCUCAACUCUCUCACUCAGAUAUGCAGCCCAUCUCAUUCCCCUCCCUCUCGACUCCCUCUAACCCUAGAAAUAUUGGUGGCGUAGUGGUGGUGGCAGCGAUGACAUAGUGGUGGCGCCAUUCUACAAGCGACGUUUAGAGCCGAAGAGGUGAACCGCGUCUCUCUGAAAACCCUUGUUAGCGUACUUUGUAAUCGAAGCUUCUUCAAUGGCGAAUAACAAUUUACCUCAAAGAAUUAUCAAAGUAAGUCACUCGAUCUUCCUCUUCUCCUAUUUCUCAAUCCCUUCCCCAAUUCAUUUUGAUUUAAUUUCUUCGUCCUUGUUUAGAAUUUUUCUGUUUGAAUAAUUUAUUUUUGGUCGAUUCAUGUCUGCUUUGAAGUUUUCAGAAAGACUGGACUACAUUUCUUGAGAAUCAGGUGCUUUCUCCUGCGAUGUAUAAGCAUAUUUUCCUUGGACAACCUUUCCACCUUAGCUUUUUGAAAGAGUAAUAUUGGAGUUAUUUGUGGAUCGUGACACAUUUCUUCUUGUGGUAAAUUAUUGUAUUGGCUUCUUGUUGGAUGGUUUUGUAUACUUGUCUACUCAACCUUGCCAUUGCUUUCCUUUUGUUAAAUAAUAAGGUUAGUGUGAUUACAUUGCUUAUGCCCAUUUUAGUUUACCUCAUAUUUUGUGAUGGAUCUUCCUUUUAAUUGCUUUCCAUUUGACUUGUAAACUACUCCCAAUGUCCAUGGGUUCUACUCUUUUUGGACAGUUCUCUAAUGUACUUAUACUUAUUUAAAAAAAUAAAUUAAUGCGACCUUAUACUUCAACUGAUUUUAGUUAUGAAUUAUUGUUUGUACAUUUGGUGAUUUGUACACCUUAAUGAUUAGAUAAGUAUGUGCAAUAUAUGUAAGAUUGCUUCAUCAUAUCAGUCUCGUAUGUAUCCUCUUGCCGUGCUCUCAUAUGUAUCACCACAUUUGCAUUGCCCAGUUGUUGACUAAGAGUAACUCAUGCCCCUUGUGCCGAUGACGUUUCACAACACUGACUGAUUCGGCAUUGCACAUCUUAGAGCUGCGGACCUUUCAUGAGUACUGAUUCUGCAUUGCACGCCUUAGGUAACAUGUUUAAUUAUUAGGGUUAAUAUGCGUCGUCCUUCUUAAUUAUAUUUUUUAUGUGCCUUCGCCUUUGGAGUACUGAUUGGAACUUCUGGUAUUUGCUACAAAUUACCUAUAGCUAAUGCAUUAAUUGGUCGUAUCUUCUCACUGCAAAUUUCAUAAUGCAAAUUUCAUAAUGCUAUUUUGACUAUUACACUCACCUAAAAUAUAUAUUCCCCACUCUUAUAGUCACGGUUUUUCCUACAAUGUGCCAUGCUCAGUCUAUUUUCCCACUAAAGCUCUAACUGGAAAUCCAGGGGGAGUCUGAAUUUGGUGUAGAACCAUUCUUUAGUAAUGGUGUUCCAGAAUAAGACAUGAUUAAAACCUCACAUAGAUUAAGCUGAAUAAUAAAUUUGAUGGUUGGCCCAUGCUCGAUAUAUUUUGCUUAUAAAGCUCUAACUGAAAGUCUAGGGGAAUCUGAAUUUGGUGUAGAACCAGUAUUUUAUGAUGGUAUACCAAAAAAAAACAUGAUUAAAACCUCACAAGAUUAAGCUGAAUAGUUUGGUGCAUGGUCAGAGCGUAGGUGAUGAAUUUGCAGAUAAUAAAGAUCAAAAUUCUGCAAAAGAUGCGGUUCUAAAUAAUAUGAACCAAGAUACUAGUCAGAAUCUUACCAACUCUGCUAAUAUAUCUAUGGAUACAUCACAAGUUACUGCAUAUGUUCAUGAAUCCAUUUCUGAGCAUCAGCUGGUUGAUGUUUCUGGUAAGCCAUAUUAUAUCUACUGAAUAUCUUUAUUUUAGAAUGUUACUAUCUGACCUAUACUCUUUCCAUUCCACGAGCGGCGCUUUUAAACAGUACUAUAUCAAUUAUAACUGCACAUGUUUCUAUUAGGCAUUAUAUGCUUCUAUUUUAGAGUUUGUGAAGUGAAUGUUGUAAUCAGGUAGGCAUAAGAUUUUACACAAAAGGGUAAGUCGAUUAGGCCAUUGUAUUUGCUGUGGGAAAUGGACUCGAUGUAGAGUUACCAUUCCAUCAUUACUGCACGAUAUGGCUGCUCUACACUUGAGCCCGAUCUUUCAUGAGUGCACUAAACUAUGAUGCCAGCGCCUAUUUUUUGGGCCGGCAUACCAUGUUAACCUAUGUUUUGUUUUUAUUCAGAAACAAUAUUUUGUUGUGUAGUUCAUUUUAGUUUUAUAUGCUACUGUUCCAAGUUUGACCAUCCCUUACCUUUGACUACCCUUGGUACGGAAAGAAAAGGAAAAUGAUGAAUCAACUAUAUCAUCAAAAUAAUUCAGUAGUAAUUGUUUCACCAUUUUAGAUUUAUAACUCCUUUAAAUAAAUCUAGUUGGUGACAUGGAUCCCAUCUCAUGGUUGAACCCACUGUCCUAUUGUUUCUUGUCUUUCUUGUUUUAAUAUUUUCUUGUAAAUGAAAUGCUACAACGUGCUACAUCGUGAGAGCCAACUGUUAUACACUGUGGAUGUUUAUGAAUAUGUUCACUAUGUGAAGUUCCUUAUGAAAAAAACAUUUAAACCUGGCAACUCUUGAGUGCAAAGUCCAGCAAUGGAUAUCAUUUGAAGGAGUUGUGUUUCAGGUGUAAAUGUGUACCUGAGGUCCUGAACUCUAACCUGCCAUUUCCCACAAAGUUGGUUGGGACUUGGGACUAAACUUGUGCAUAAAUUUGAUCACUAUUGUGACCUGGUUAGGACUCAGUAAUCAGUAGUUUGUAUAUGGGUCUGGAUCCAGUGGUGGUCAGUAAAUUAAUUAUAAUAUUAAUGUUUCUAUCCUCUGGACUACUGUAUCUACAUGAAUGGGCUCUCCUCAUCUUCACUUAGUAAAGCCUAAUCCCAACUAUUUGACGCUGGUUAAAUGAAUUUUGUUUUAACCCUCCAUAUGAGUUUGUUUUGUAUAUAUAUAGAUGGGUGAUAGAUAAUCAGAUUGAUAAUAUGGUUUAAACCCAGGAUACUAAUAUAGGUGUAUUUCAUAUUGAUAUAAAAUUUUAAUCAAAGAAGUCUGGUGUUUCUAGGUGUUGUACAUCACAUAUUUCACUAACGUGUUGCUUCAUUUUCUUUCUUGUAGCUUCUUGGGAGGAGCAGUGGAUUUCAUGUGGCAUCAACUUAUCGGCUGUGUACGAAAUGUCUUUGGCAUCAACUCAUUGAUUCAUUUGUUGUUUCUACAGUGCUAUGUAACAUGUUCAUAUAUAUUUAUAUUGAAAAGUGAUUUUGAGAUGCAUAUAUGGAUAGUUUGAUAUAUAUUUUGUAGAUGUAGUAAUUUGAAACUGUAAACGAAUGGUAUUAUUGGAAUAUAUUUUGAAUGGUUGAUACAUUUUGGCUUUAAAUUUAAAUGAGAAUUUAGACUUUUUAGCUAUAUAUCACGGCAUUAGCAUAUUGCAGGUGCAUUGGUAAUAUAGGUGAACAACAACAUUUUUUUCCUUUUUUUUUCUUUAUCUACAACAUUUUAAAAUUGUUGUAUAUUUGUAUAAAUAAA